GAUGAACGCUGGCGGCGUGCCUAAUACAUGCAAGUCGAGCGAACAGACGAGGAGCUUGCUCCUCUGACGUUAGCGGCGGACGGGUGAGUAACACGUGGAUAACCUACCUAUAAGACUGGGAUAACUUCGGGAAACCGGAGCUAAUACCGGAUAAUAUAUUGAACCGCAUGGUUCAAUAGUGAAAGACGGUUUUGCUGUCACUUAUAGAUGGAUCCGCGCCGCAUUAGCUAGUUGGUAAGGUAACGGCUUACCAAGGCGACGAUGCGUAGCCGACCUGAGAGGGUGAUCGGCCACACUGGAACUGAGACACGGUCCAGAAGCCUACGGGAGGCAGCAGUAGGGAAUCUUCCGCAAUGGGCGAAAGCCUGACGGAGCAACGCCGCGUGAGUGAUGAAGGUCUUCGGAUCGUAAAACUCUGUUAUUAGGGAAGAACAAAUGUGUAAGUAACUAUGCACGUCUUGACGGUACCUAAUCAGAAAGCCACGGCUAACUACGU
rnacentral:rRNA from 1 species